AUGAUCACAUGUUUUCAGUGCUGAUCUCAUGCAGGCUGUCUGGCGGAGAUGGGCAGCGUUCUCUGGGCUGUAAUGUUUCAGUCUGACCAUAAACUAUGUGGGAGCGGGAGCACUCGCCACACUUUCACUGACAUGGCACUGUACCACAAACCACUGGGGUGGCUGCCCAGGGUACCAGAGCCAGAGCACUGGCAGAGGUUUUCCCCUGUGCAGUACCUCUGUGUCAGGCACGCAGGCCCACGGAACUCCUUAUGCCAUUGGUAGAGUUCUGCCUCAAACAUACCACUUCAAAAACAAACGGAACAGCAUAAGGACAAUCCCCUAGUAAAAAGGGACAACCUCUAUGUUUUCGUGCAGGUCAUUUUACUCUCCCCAAUGUCUUCCUCCACUUAUUUCCUGCAUAUCAUUCCCCUCUAAGAGCUGAAGAGAUUUUCCAUGGCAUUUGAACUGGAAAGAGUGGCCUCAGCCAAUCCAUCAAAAGAAUGUGGUCAAAAACUGAAUUUGGCUACUGGGAAAAGAAGGCAGUCUGAUAAUUUAAAUGUGUUCUAGCCAUAAUAUAGCUAUAAACACAACAUGCAGUUUUUAAAUGAAGGUUUUUAUUAUUAAGGGAAAACAAAAUCUAAAACAAUAUGGCCCUGUGUGAAGAAGUGUUUGCCCCGCUAUUAAAACUGUGGUUUAUCACACCUGAGUUCAAUUUCUCUAGUCACACCCAGGCCUGAUUACUGCCACACCUGUUCGCAAUCAAGAAAUCUCUUAAAUAGAACCUGCAUGACAAAGUGAAGUAGACCAAAAGAUCCUCAAAAGCUAGACAUCAUGCCGAGAUCCAAAGAAAUUCAGAAACAAAUGAGAAAGAAAGUAACUGAGAUCUAUCAGUCUGGAAAAGGUUAUAAAGCCAUUUCUUAAGCUUUGGGAGUCCAGCGAACCACAGUGAGAGCCAUUAUUCACAAAUGGCAAAAACAUGGAACAGUGGAGAAUCUUCCCAGGAGUGGCUGGCCGACCAAAAUUACCCCAAGAGCACAGCGACGACUCAUCCAAGAGGUCACAAAAGACCCCACAUCCAAAGAACAACAUCCAAAGAACUGCGGGCUGUUUUGCUGCUUCAGGACCUGGAAGACUUGCUGUGAUAAAUGGAACCAUGAAUUCUGCUGUUUACCAAAAAAUCGUGAAGGAGAAUGUCCGGCCAUCUGUUCGUGACCUCAAGCUGAAGUGAACUGGCUGUUAAGGGUGGCCCAACCAGUUAUUAGUUUUUAGGGGGCAACUAAUUUUUCACACACAGCCAUGCAGUUUUGGAUUUUGUUUUCCCUUAAUAAUAAAAACCUUUAAAAACUGCA
ensembl:lncRNA